UACGUAGGGGGCAAGCGUUGUCCGGAUUUACUGGGCGUAAAGAGCGUGUAGGCGGCCAAGCAGGUCCGUUGUGAAAACUGGAGGCUUAACCUCCAGACGUCGACGGAAACCGCGUGGCUAGAGUCCGGAAGAGGAGAGUGGGAAUUCCUGGUGUAGCGGUGAAAUGCGCAGAUAUCAGGAAGAACACCCGUGGCUAAGGCGGCUCUCUAGUACGGUACUGACGCUGAGACGCGAAAGCGUGGGGGAGCGAACAGG
rnacentral:rRNA from 1 species